UGGGGAAUAUUGGACAAUGGGCGAAAGCCUGAUCCAGCCAUGCCGCGUGUGUGAAGAAGGUCUUCGGAUUGUAAAGCACUUUAAGUUGGGAGGAAGGGCAGUAAGCGAAUACCUUGCUGUUUUGACGUUACCGGCAGAAUAAGCACCGGCUAACUCUGUGCCAGCAGCCGCGGUAAUACAGAGGGUGCAAGCGUUAAUCGGAAUUACUGGGCGUAAAGCGCGCGUAGGUGGUUCGUUAAGUUGAAUGUGAAAUCCCCGGGCUCAACCUGGGAACUGCAUCCAAAACUGGCGAGCUAGAGUAGGGCAGAGGGUGGUGGAAUUUCCUGUGUAGCGGUGAAAUGCGUAGAUAUAGGAAGGAACACCAGUGGCGAAGGCGACCACCUGGGCUCAUACUGACACUGAGGUGCGAAAGCGUGGGGAGCAAACAGG
rnacentral:rRNA from 1 species